rnacentral:rRNA from 1 species
AAUCAACGCUGGCGGCGUGCCUCAGACAUGCAAGUCGAACGAUUAAAGCUCUCUUCGGAGAGUGUAUAGAGUGGCGCACGGGUGAGUAACACGUAAGUAAUCUACCCUCGAGUGGGGAAUAACGUCCGGAAACGGACGCUAAUACCGCAUAAUGCAGCGGCACCGCAAGGUGACAGUUGUUAAAGAUUUAUCGCUUGAGGAGGAGCUUGCGGCAGAUUAGCAGUUGGUAAGGUAAUGGCUUACCAAGGCUACGAUCUGUAACCGGUCUAAGAGGACGGGUCGGUCACACUGACACUGAAUAACGGGUCAGACUCCUACGGGAGGCAGCAGUCGGGAA